rnacentral:rRNA from 1 species
CCUGGUUGAUCCUGCCAGUAGUGUAUGCUUGUCUCAAAGAUUAAGCCAUGCAUGUGUGAGUGCAAGCCUUCAUUAACGGUGAAACCGCGAAUGGCUCAUUAAAUCAGUCAUAAUCCGUUGGACUUCAUGGAACCCAGUGUCCUUACUCGGAUAACUGUGGUAAUUCUAGAGCUAAUACGUGCCACGAGUUCCCAAAGUGUCUUCUCUCCUUCGCGGGUGAGAGCAUCAGUAGGACGCAAUUAUUAGAACCAAAAAUUGUACCGGGGUUUAUUCUUUCUGGUGCGUUUUUCGUACGCAGGAGGGACCCUACUUGGUGUAAAAUUUGGUGAAUCUGGAUAAUACCCUUUAGCAGAGCGCUUAGGCCUUUCGUGCCGGCGCUUGACCUUUGAAGAGUCUGCCCUAUCAGCUAGAUUGUAGAUUAAAUGUCUACAAUGGCUAUAACGGGUAACGGGGAAUCAGGGUUCGAUUCCGGAGAGGGAGCCUGAGAAACGGCUACCACAUCUAAGGAAGGCAGCAGGCACGCAAAUUGCUCAAUCUUAGCUCGAGGAAGCAGUGACAAAAUAUCUUGAUGCGGGACUCUUCCGAGGCCUCGCAAUCAGGAUGCGUUUACUUUAAAACAGUAAACUGAACGCAAUUGGAGGGCAAGUCUGGUGCCAGCAGCCGCGGUAAUUCCAGCUCCAAUAGCGUACAUUUAAGUUGCUGCGGUUAAAAAGCUCGUAGUUGGACUUUAUACUCAGGCAGUCGGCCCACUCUCCUGCUUUUCGGGCGUGCGACUCCUUUCUGCGUUGCUUUUCUUUCGCCACGUGCGUUAAAAAGGUCGCGAAUGUUUUGGGAAGCCGUCUAUUGCAGGUGUUUAGUUUGGUUUUCCUGGCUGUGACUGAGUGUAUAUGAGACCGUCGAUCANCUUUUUUGUACCGCUGUUGCAAGUUCACGGUGCCCUUUACUGGUGUGUCCGUCUUGCAUCACGUACAGUUACAUCCGUCGGCCGUUACACCGUAACACAAUUGUUGCUGCGGAGGUUGGCGUGAUGGAAAGUUAUCGACUCGAUCACUUUGAAAAAAUUAGAGUGCUCAAAGCAGGCCUCAUUGCAUAAUUGCCUGAAUGGUAGUGCAUGGAAUGAUGGAAGAUGAUCUCUACCUAGUUUAAAAGUAUCUUUUUAUACCAAUGUGGCGCGGCAUUCGUGUCGUUCGUCGGUACGUUAAGAUUCUAGGUUUGAGAUAAUGAUUAAAGGGAACUGCCGGGGGCGUUUGUAUUACGGCGCUAGAGGUGAAAUUCUUGGACCGUCGUAAGACAAACUACUGCGAAAGCAUUCGCCAAGAAUGUUUUCAUUAAUCAAGAACGAAAGUUAGAGUUUAGAAGGAGAUCAGAUACCUCCCUAUUUCUAACCGUAAACUAUGCUAACCGGUUGUCCGUCGGAAGUCAUUUCCGAGACUGGACGAGCGACCCCGGGGAAACCAGAGUUUCUGAGUUCCGGGGGAAGUAUGGUUGCAAAGCUGAAACUUAAAGGAAUUGACGGAAGGGCACCACCAGGAGUGGAGCCUGCGGCUUAAUUUGACUCAACACGGGAAAACUCACCAGGCCCAGAAACAUUUAGGAUUGACAGAUUGAAAGCUCUUUCAUGAUUAUGAGGAUGGUGGUGCAUGGCCGUUCUUAGUUGGUGGAGCGAUCUGUCUGGUUAAUUCCGAUAACGAACGAGAUUCUCGUUUACUAAAUAGAAGGUAGAUCUGAUCCCGAAAGCUUUUUUGCUCUUUAUUCCCCGAGGUGUCGGGGCUGGACGACUUUUCUUAUCGUGGCUCGUGCUCGCUGCUUUCGUGAAGGGAAACCGGAACGUUUGUGGUGUUGUGUGGGUCGCGUGGAAGGUCUGAAACUCUGAUUUAUGCCGAAGGGAGGGGUGAAGCUUAUGUCGGGUAGUCUAUCAAUUCCGUUUCUUCUUAGAAAAAUCAAUGGUGCUCUAAUCAGUUGACAGGAAGAGCAAUAACAGGUCUGUGAUGCCCUUAGAUGUUCUGGGCCGCACGCGCGCUACAAUGCACGGUGCAACACGUCCCCCUUCUCCUAAUGGAGUGGGUAACCGGUUGAAAUCCGUGCCUACUUGGGAUUGGGGCUUGCAAAUAUUUCCCAUAAACGAGGAAUUCCCAGUAAGCGUUGGCUCAUUUAAGUCGCGCUGAUUACGUCCCUGCCCUUUGUACACACCGCCCGUCGCUACUACCGAUUGAAUGAUUCAGUGAGAACAUUGGACUGUCGUCCUAUGCACUUUCGUGCUUGAAGGGCUGACGGGAAGAUGUUCAAACUUGAUCAUUUAGAGGAAGUAAAAGUCGUAACAAGGUUUCCGUAGGUGAACCUGCGGAAGGAUCAUUA